UCCUUGUCGGGUAAGUUCCGACCUGCACGAAUGGCAUAAUGAUGGCAGCGCUGUCUCCAGCAGAGACUCAGUGAAAUCGAAAUCGCAGUGAAGAUGCUGUGUACCCGCGGCUAGACGGAAAGACCCCGUGAACCUUUACUACAGCUUUACAUUGAACUUUGACCUAACUUGUGUAGGAUAGGUGGGAGGCUUUGAAGCAGAUACGCCAGUAUUUGUGGAGCCAACCUUGAAAUACCACCCUGGUUAUGUUGGGGUUCUAACUUAGGAUCAACAAAUCCAAGGACAAUGUAUGGUGGGUAGUUUGACUGGGGCGGUCUCCUCCUAAAGAGUAACGGAGGAGUACGAAGGUGCGCUCAGAACGGUCGGAAAUCGUUCAAAGAGUAUAAAGGCAAAAGCGCGCUUAACUGCGAGACCCACAAGUCGAGCAGGUACGAAAGUAGGUCUUAGUGAUCCGGUGGUUCUGUAUGGAAGGGCCAUCGCUCAACGGAUAAAAGGUACUCUGGGGAUAACAGGCUGAUACCGCCCAAGAGUUCAUAUCGACGGCGGUGUUUGGCACCUCGAUGUCGGCUCAUCUCAUCCUGGGGCUGAAGCAGGUCCCAAGGGUAUGGCUGUUCGCCAUUUAAAGAGGUACGCGAGCUGGGUUUAGAACGUCGUGAGACAGUUCGGUCCCUAUCUACCGUGGGCGUUGGAAAUUUGAGAGGAUCUGCUCCUAGUACGAGAGGACCAGAGUGGACGAACCUCUGGUGUUUCGGUUGUCACGCCAGUGGCAUUGCCGAGUAGCUAUGUUCGGAUGGGAUAACCGCUGAAAGCAUCUAAGCGGGAAGCCCACCUUAAGAUAAGAUUUCCCUAAAGAGCCGUUGUAGACGACGACGUUGAUAGGUUGGGUGUGGAAGUGUAGUGAUACAUGUAGCUAACCAAUACUAAUUGCUCGUUUGGCUUGACCAUACAACACCCAAGUGGUUUACCACUGACUGUGUUGAUUGGUAAUAUGUAAGAUGAACCUUAAUCUUGAUUUGGUAAUAAACAGACUCAUACAGCGUUGUUAAUCCUUUUACGCUGACGACAAUAGCAAGAUGGAACCACCUGAUCCCUUCCCGAACUCAGAAGUGAAACGUCUUAGCGCCGAUGGUAGUGUGGUUCGCCCAUGUGAGAGUAGGUCAUCGUCAGCACCUUAUUUUAAACCCCUCUUUGCAGAAGCAAAGGGGGGUUUUGUUUGGGGGUUGAUUAAGUCCAGUUUAGCGCUUUUAAAAUUUUUUUCAAUGCCAUCUUGAUCAUGGCGUGGGCAAAUAAUAUGAGCAUGUUGUUUUAACAUGGGAUGUGCGUUACCCAUAGCGAUGGCUGUUCCCACCAACUUAAACAUUUCCAUAUCAUUUAAGUCAUCUCCAAAAG
rnacentral:rRNA from 1 species